rnacentral:rRNA from 1 species
GUCUACGCCGUAAACGAUGGAUACUAGCAUUCGGAGGUGUCGACCCCUUCGGUAGCGAAGCUAACGCGUUAAGUAUCCCGCCUGUGUAGUACGAGCGCAAGCUUAAAACAUAAAGGAAUUGACGGGGACCCGCACAAGCGGUGGAGCGUGUUCUUUAAUUCGAGGAUAAGCGAAGAACCUUACCAGGACUUGACAUCCUUGGAAUCUCUGGGAAACUAGAGAGUGCCUUCGGGAAUCAAGUGACAGGUGCUGCAUGGCCGUCGU